rnacentral:rRNA from 1 species
GAUGAACGCUGGCGGCGUGCUUAACACAUGCAAGUCGAACGGAAAGGCUCCUGCUUGCAGGGGUACUCGGGUGGCGAACGGGUGAGUAACACGUGGGUGAUCUGCCCUGCACUUCGGGAUAAGCCUGGGAAACUGGGUCUAAUACCGGAUAGGACGAUGGUUUGGAUGCCAUUGUGGAAAGUUUUUUCGGUGUGGGAUGAGCUCGCGGCCUAUCAGCUUGUUGGUGGGGUAAUGGCCUACCAAGGCGUCGACGGGUAGCCGGCCUGAGAGGGUGUACGGCCACAUUGGGACUGAGAUACGGCCCAGACUCCUACGGGAGGCAGCAGUGGGGAAUAUUGCACAAUGGGCGCAAGCCUGAUGCAGCGACGCCGCGUGGGGGAUGACGGCCUUCGGGUUGUAAACUCCUUUCGCUAGGGACGAAGCGCAAGUGACGGUACCUGGAGAAGAAGCACCGGCUAACUACGUG